GAUGAACGCUGGCGGCGUGCCUAAUACAUGCAAGUCGAGCGAACGGACGAGAAGCUUGCUUCUCUGAUGUUAGCGGCGGACGGGGGAGUAACACGUGGAUAACCUACCUAUAAGACUGGGAUAACUUCGGGAAACCGGUGCUAAUACCGGAUAAUAUUUUGAACCGUAUGGUUCAAAUGUGAAAGACGGUCUUGCUGUCACUGAUAGAUGGAUCCGCGCUGCAUUAGCUAGUUGGUAAGGUAACGGCUUACCAAGGCAACGAUGCAUAGCCGAACUGAGAGGGUGAUCGGCCACCCUGGAACUGAGACACGGUCCAGACUCCUACGGGAGGCAGCAGUAGGGAAUCUUCCGCAAUGGGCGAGAGCCUGACGGAGCAACGCCGCGUGAGUGAUGCAGGUCUUCGGAUCGUAAAACUCUGUUAUUAGGGAAGAACAGAUGUGUAAGUAACUGUGCACAUCUUGACGGUACCUAAUCAGAAAGCCACGGCUAACUACGUG
rnacentral:rRNA from 1 species